AUCUUUACUCACUGGUUUCUCUGGUUUAGAAUUGCGGCUUUGUGCUGUGGAUUUCUUUGAAGAGGGAUAUUUCGAUAUUUUCCUUGUUUUGUAGGGAAAAGACAGACUGUAGGAAUCUCGCUGUUCCUUUCUGGCGUGAAUCUUGUAGCAGAUUUUUUCGCCUGGAUGGUGUUGCUGAAAGUGCUUCGUCAUCAAAUACUUCCUGGAACCUGGUAGUUCAUAACUGCAGGAAUUGCACCUUAUAACAUCUCCAUGAACAUCCUGCUAACCAAUAUCUGUUGGCUGCCAGUCUGGUGGGGACUCAAAAAAACAUUGGAUCAGGUACAAGGCCAGGAACAGGAUCAGCAUUUAUUUAUUUAAAAAGUCUUUGUAGUGCCUCAGCAAAGGUGGAACCUGGUACAAUAAUGUCAUCCAUGUACAGUAAACAUUCUUCCCACUGCAACCUCCGUUAUACAUCUUCCAAGAGGCGACUAAGAGUGCUUGGACUGUUGCAUAGACCAAACGGCAUGACCUUGAAAUGAAAUAGACCAAGGCUUGUGGAAAAAGCAGUCUUCUCCUUGUGUUCCUCUGCCAUAACGAAUUGCCAAAAGCCAGAAUUUAGAUCCAUAGAACUAAACCAUUUUGAAUUGGAUAAGGAAUCUAGACAAUCAUCCACUCGGGGUAAGGGAUAGGCAUCCUUAAUUGUAAUUUCGUUUAAUUUUCUGUAGUCCACGCAAAAACGAGUCGAACCAUCCUUUUUGGGAGCAAGUACAAUUGCACUGGACCAAGCACUCCUAGAAGGCUCCAUGAUGCCAUUAUCAAGCAUUUUCUUUACUUCUUCCUGUUCAGUUUUCUUUUUACCUAUUGGUAACCUGCGGGGUUGUGUUCUAAUUGGAGGGGCAUUACCGGUUUCAAUUCUGUGCACCACUCUAUCUGUA